AUAAACGACUUACCGCCAAGAUCGCAAGAUUAAGUAAACACAAAUCACACACCAAUAUUUGCAGCGGAAAUAAAUUAUUUAUUACAAAAUGGUUACAAGUUACAACAUUUACAAGUUAUAGCAAGAUUACAAUAUAUAUCAUCGGAGUUGGUUACAAAAGAAAUUGAUUCAAAAAGAUUACAAUUUGAAUGUAUAAAACAUUUAUAAGUUUUAAAAUACAUGCUAGCUUAAGUGACAAUCCUCAAUAAAGAAGCUAAAGAUGGGAUAUACUUAUAUAAGAAGGCCGAGCCCACCGGCACUUAGCAGCAUCCACAACAGAACAAAAUUAUAACCUGAAAAACAACAGGGAAUAAAACCCUGAGUACGCAAUUACUCAGCAAGACUUACCCGACUAAAGAAAAGACUCUCAAGGGUAUGCUGGUUUAUUGGGAAUCAAGGUAAGGCUCAUCAAAUUUCAAAGACUCGUUUUUGCAGAAAAGCAUACUAGUAGUGGAUCCUUAUGCCAAAAUUUUACUUCACAAGUUAAGUACUUUUCCUGAAUCUAGAUUUGCCUAAUCUAGAGCAUUCACUUGUCCUACACUAGCUUCCUUUUAUCAACUUUAGUUUCACUUGUUAUCUACGAUGCAGGGCAGUGAUCCAGUCUUCAUAUCCGAGAAGUAACGGUGAUCCGAAUCGAUUAAUACUCAUCUGAGGAUCUCCAACCACACGACAUAUGUAGCACUUAACCCUUGCAUAUGUCAACUCGCCACCGGGUUUCUCAAGACCAGAACGGGUUCACGCGACCCAAGAGCACAGCACUCCACCGUCCAGCCAUUGGCCUGGUUGGUACACGUUACUCUCGCCAUGGUGCCCGCCAUGUUUCCGAGAGUACAGCACCCCACCUUCCAGUCUCUUGCCACAGAGGGUACAAGCUACUCUCGCCAUCUCUCCACUCCCAGUGCGUGCGAGCUGUUCUGGUAUUGGUCCGACCGAGGCAAAGCUUACCCAUGAUGAGGCAUGUGGCCAGUUAAAGGGUCCUAGAUCAGCAGGCCAACAAUCGGAACGGUCCUUAAGCGACACAGACGGACGACCUUUCCUGCUCAGCGUCUGGUCUAGAUUUAUUCCAACCAUUCUCCCAUUUUUGGUACCCGGCAGGGGUACUUUUUCUGGAUGUUGAAUCCAUCAUGGCCAUAUGGAUUCACCAUCCCAAUUUCUUGUUCACAAUAAUUUCCCAUAUCGCGUGUAACACAUCAUAUUUUUUUAAAAAGAACAACUUUUAAUUAUCUAAGCAGGGCUAAGCAUCUUUAGUUCUCUUUAUAAAAAGAGGAAUCAAGGAAGAUAAUCAAAUUCCAAGGAAUGGCAAUGCAUCAAUUGUUUCAUCACUCAACUCCUAUCACCUAAUGCAACAUAUAUGUGAUAAAAGUUUUAUAACAACAAGGAGGUGGCAAAUGCACCGGGGCUUGCCUGGGAUAACACUAAGUCGGUGUUGUUAGAUGACGUCCGCUUGGGGAGCAUCUCUCAUCCUGGUACUUGACCAGAUCAUCCAAGCUUCAGGUUCGUUCACCAGCAUCACCUUGAGAUCAAUCCAAACCUUGUCUUCCACAUCACGUGAUCAAUUAACGUACCUAAAUGAUAUGCAUAAUGCAUAUGAGUAAGUAGGAGCAUAAAUAGCACAAGAUAGAUAAGUUAUACUAAGGAGGAUACAGACUUAAAGCAAGACAUCGCAACUCUUAGGUGUAGCAACUAGAUAUAUUUAACUCUACAUCAAACAUGACGUUCUAGUCAAUUGGACCUAAACCAAUCAUCAAGUAACAUUAGCAAUAUACAAGUCCUAAUAUAUUUAGAAUAUAACACUGAUGUACUGUAAUACUUAAAAACAAUUACUAUAUGUUGACAUAUCACUAAGUAUCACAAAUACAUUUUUUUCACUUAAACAGAUCUAACUCAAGCAUCAAAAGGCUACACAUAAAUCCCAACCUCAUGAACUAGAGUAUCCUACCGAAGGAUUAACACCACUCCUAGUACUAAUGAACAACUCAUUAUUAACAAGCAUAAAAUUCUAUGGUAUAAUAUUUAUCUUCAUUUAAAGGUUUAAAACACUUAUAUGCAUAAACACUAGAUACUUCUAACUUUAUACAAUCAUGAACUUUGAGGUAAUCGGACCUAAUCCAAACCUUAGGUAACAAUAGCUAAACACAUUAAGCAUGGGAUACAUGUUCACUUGAGGUUAGCUACUUCAAGACUUCACCAAUCAAUAACCAAGAACUAAUUAAUCCUAUCUAGCCAAGCAAGAAUGAUUCCAAGCAAUCAAUUUAACACGUGCAGAUUUUCUGGACAGCAGUACAGUAGUCAAUUGUUUUGCUCAUAAUUCACAAAAUAUCCAUCCAAAAAUAGUAAACUAGGACUUUCUGGAAAGCUUAUAAAGUCCUCUAUAACUUUUGUAUUAUCAUCACAGUGAGACUUGACACUUAGAAUGGUCAAACAAUGCUAAACUUAAAUUCUGUCCAGUUUUGGACAGAAUUCGACUACUUACUUCAAAAAAUUCAUAACUGGAGUUUCAGACAUCCAAAUCAGGUGAUCCUAGACUUUUUAGAAAGCUAAUAGAAUUGUCUACAGUUCAUUUGUAAAUGUCCCAGGUUAAUUCAAUAUAUAUCAAGGUCAGAAAACAUGAGAAAGGCUUCGCUGUCCAAAUUGGGACAGAUUCAGAGAUCCUAACUCAAACAGCUGUAACUUAAUUUAUAGAUCACCAAAAAGGGUGAUCCAAAAUUUGUUGGAAAGCUUAAGGGAAGUACUACAAUUCUCCUAUAAUUGCCAAUGACUGAUUCUCAUUUUAACUUAGCCAAACAAUCCAAUUUUCGAAACCUGUACAUAAUUUGGACAGAUUCAGAAACUGGACUUUGAAAAAUCAUAACUCCUAAACUACUAAACCUAUGGUCAUGAAAUUUUUACACAACCAAGAUAAAGAUGUUAUCUACAACUUUUCUAUAGUAUAUUUCUACAGAAAAUGCACUUUAGUUCGUCAAACAAAUAACACGGCAGAAACUGUACAUGCAGUCUAAAACUGUGAGUAUGCAAUUUUAGCUCCUAAUUAGGCUCUAUAGUAUCAUAUAACUAGCAUGGAGUAUCCAAAGUAUUCGAAACAGCAGAUCAGUCCAAGUAAUCAAGCUUCAACUUCAAUGCACACUAUUUGAAAGUUCUCUGGCUAGCAAAAUUGAAGGUAGUAGAAUUCGGAAGAUAGGCACAUACUAUGAUCAGGAUCAGACUGAACUUUAAAAUUUCAAGUGCUAAAUCUACAUUUACCAAAUAGACCAUCUAUGGUUUGUCUAUUUUGGUUCAGUGAUAGCCAACCAGUCAGAUCUUAAAUCACUGAAAACAAAAGUGACGAAACCAACACAACCGGAAUUAUCUCUAACCUGCCCCCCGUUUCGAAUAUCAGUUGUUUGCUACAUGGAUUUCCAAUUGCCAAAAUUAUUCUGCAACCACAUGUAAAAGCAACCAGAAAAACAUAGCUAAAGCCAAACGAAAGCAUCCACAGGAAUCCCAAACCAAAUAUCAUGACCGUUGGACUAGCAAUCGUUUGAGCUAAAUGACCUCCAGCACAAGAAUUUAAAGCUUCCACAGAAGCAUAUAGCAUGAUAAAGCAGAAACAGUUUGAUUGAAUGGAAAUUGUAGUGUUGUAGUUCUACCCAUCGCUGCCUGAACCUCCCAUGUCCCAAACAUGUCCAGUGCCCCACGGACUGGGCGAGCGAUACUGAGGAGGGAUCUCGGCUGGGGCGGCGACUGGCGAGUCCGAGCACCAGGGAGCAGCGACGGCCAGCAGAGGAGCAAGGAGGGGCGCGACACGAUGAGGUUUCAUGGCUGUUGCUGCUUUACCGCGACCGGGCUUGAGGAUAAUCUGCGCAGGGCCAAUCAGCAAGAUUCGAGCAGGGAGAGAUGGAGUAGAGGUAGUGCUUGACAAACCUAGUGCAGGAGCAACCGGCCAUGGCGAGGUGGAGGUCUGGCCAUCAGGGGCGCCAGCCAUGGAGGGAGUUCCCUGCGAUGAACCAGAGAGGAGGGCUCGCCGGCUUGGAGGAGCAGAGAGCGCCAUGGUUGGGGGAGACGCCAUGGCUACCCAGGCGUCGAGUGGAGAGCUUGGGCAGAAGAGGAAUAGAGAGUCGGCCUGCGUUGGAGAGCUCACGGCCGACGGCGACCAGCAGCCAGGGCCGGCGAGGUGAGGACCGAGCGCUAUGGGGAGGGGCGGCAUGGCGAACUGGAGACCGACAGUGGGGUUGAAGCCGUAUAGAGAACCGAUGGCGCUUGGGCAAGAUGGAGGACAAGCUCGGACGUGGAGGUAGCAGACAGUGCACGGCCGGCACCUUCUGGAGAUGAAUUCGUGGGCACCGGUGAGAGGAUAAGAAGGACACGAUGCCUCCACACGUCAGAAUAAGAAUAGAGGGAGAGGACACGUAGAGGAUAAAGAAAAACUCAUAUUUUCUUUCUCUCUUCUCUAAACAAAUAUGCGUACACAAAUAAAGUUACAGAAAUUAGGUUUAAAAGAUAUAGAAAUGGUUCGCACCAACCUAAGAUCAACGAAAAUAUUUAGACAAGAUUUGAUUUGGUGAAUACUAUGAAGUCAAAUGGAUUCUUACCCAUAUUUGUAUUUGAAGAUUUGGAUCGAGAAGAGAAACACACGAACUGAACCAAACAAGAUCAGCUUCGAUAUUAUAGACGAUGCUUAAUUUGAUUUGAUUCGAAACCCGAUAAAUUUAUCCGCAGUCUGAACACAGAAACAGAUUAAUUAUGAAUACUCAAUAUUGGCUCUAAUUAUCUCGGUCCGAUUAAAUUUUGCCUCACUUCUAUCGUCUAGUUCCAAUUAAUUUGUUCUGGAUAAAAAUCGUAAGAAUGGGUCGAGCUUCCGAAUUCGUAUUCUCUUAAUCCAUAAAUUUUAAACAGACACAAGACUCGAUAUUUAGCAAAAUAAAUACGCGAGAUCAAUGCGACAUAAAAAGUGUGAUCCUUUCGGAAACGACCACACGCAUCGUUCACGUGGGCGAGAGGUUGUGCGCUGUCCAGACACCGGUUAACGCUCGCCACACGUCACAAUGCCAGGCCGCAGAGGGACGUGCACGAUGCAGACGCGAGGGAAUUAAAAAUGGAUUCUACAGAACCAGAUCCGAUUUCAAAGGGUAGAGUUUGGGCAAGACGUCGAUGGCUCAACCCAAACGAUACUGGAUUCGAUGUUUCGAAAGAUUACUGAAGUCUGAAUUUUUUUGAAAAUAAAUUAGGACAAUUUAAGCAGAUGGAGACAGACACGAUAUCAAAAUCGUGAUAGACAAAGAUGAUUAAAAUUUAGUGACCUUUACAUUCAUAGCUAUCACGUGUUAACGUCCGCACUCGUGGUCGAGUAGACGAUAAAAACCUGGGGUGUUACAACCUUCCCCCCUUAAAAGAAUCUCGUCCCGAGAUUCAGAAUGAAAGACUUCUAAGAGUAGAGAAGCGUAUAACCCUGUCCAUAAUAGUGACAACAUAAGCUAAUUCCAAGCAAAGACGAGGAUCUCAAAAUGUUGCUUCUCUAGUGGGUAUAGCACAUACCACUUUAGUUUAACUAGAGACGUCAAUAAACAAGCUAUAACUGACAAAUGAACACAUAAGGUUCCAUGUGUGCAGUUUGCUUUUUCUGAUGACACGGUACUAUCUGAGUCUGUUGAGAACGGUGGACAAAUGGAUAGCAAUUACACAAACCUUGUGAGAUGCAACCUCUUGGGUAAAACACACAGAAAGAGGUUUACCAACAAGUGGUCAUUGGAAAUUCAUAGCACAUAAGACGAGGAUGGAUGUUGAAUAACAUCACAGUUAACUCGUGUUAGCCAGAGAACCCAAGUCCAUGAAAGGUGAUAUAGAUUCGAGAAAAUUACCAGCGGAGGGAUCUGUAGAUGCUGCCUUCGUGUCUAAUCCAUUUUAUCCAGCACUAAUCAUGGCUCGACUUGAUCACACAUGUUGGAAAACCAUACGUGAGGCGAUCGAGGCACGACUAGAGGGAUGGCUAGGUUGUUACCAGUCGACUUGACUUGACUCUAGCAGGUACUUCCUUAGGAUGGGUUGAACCAAAUUGAGUUUAGACAACUCGAUAAAACGAUCUCUACACUCAACCUUUGUUCACAAUGCAGUUACAAGUUAGUAAAACCAACUUGUUGAACUACCCUUGACAUUGAGCAGGUCCUCUCAGUACCAUCGGUAAGCCAAGGGUUGAGAGUUCACAUUUGGUGACAGGAAAUCAUGCACUUGAAUAAAAAUCCAUUUGGUCAUGUUGUUCAUCCGUUUCUUCAUGCGAGAUGAACUGACUUGGUUAGGGAAUACAUGGAUUAAAUAGAAGAGUGAAUGAACAAGCUCCUGCAUCUCAGCAGCAGGGAAAAUCCAAUUUGAGAGCUAAUCAGUUGUUUUCUAACACUAAAAAGCUCCAAAGCUUCACCUUUACACAAAGGAUGUAAAGGGAACUUGUAUGAGUAGUCACUACCAAGAUCAAAAGAAAUAAGACCACACAUGAAAGUGGUAUGCCCUUUUGAUCCAACGGAGAUGACAAAUGUUGCUUGAUCACUUCACAAACAACAUAGAAACUGUUUCAAGGAAGGGGUCUACGAAAGAUAACAUAUUGAUAUAAUCUCAUAAUGGAUUAUGACUACUAACUGUGAUACUAACGUGUGCCGAGUAGCGCAACCAUGUGCGUACACACAGAAGGCCCUCGGUUUCGUCACGGCACCACUAGUUUUAGUCAUAACACCAUUAUCAGACAUAACCAAUAAGAAAUCUCACGCGACACAAAUGAAUUGGGCAAGGGUGACAAUAUACAAAGAGAUACUCCACCUGUAAGGAUGGUUACAAGUAAAGAGCCAAACAGAUCAUGGCCCGAUGAAAUGAACAAGGCAUGGCCAUAACCUAAAUUUGAUGAAAGGAGUACGGCAGGAGACUGUUAAUUUGGCCCCAAACAUAUUUCUAUGCCCAUUGUAGAAAUCACAAGGUCAAGGAUUAGUAUCUGACUAGAUACAGGGGAAAACAAUCCAAAGAUUAAGUUGGUAUGCCUUCGAUAGAUAUGGGAAACCAAAGGCAUCAAAUUCCAGAAAAAUGGUUGGACAUGUCUUUCUUAGGUUGGGUUGAUAAAGCAACAUGGUGAUCCUUAAGAACAGGUGAACUGGAUAAGGUACAUCAGCUUGCACCAACUGAAUAAGGAUAUGGUUUAGAAUGGGGACAUGACUCGAGAUUCUUGGUUUAAGCCUAGGUACAAUUUAUGUCCAACAAAUAAAUUAUCUAAGCAUUUAUUUGCAUGAGUUGGGUCAUGGAGUGAUGACGGAAAAUUCAACUUUGGGUCAGGGUUCACUAACAAAGAACAUGGCCUAAUUUUCGGUUUAAGCAAGCAAACUACCAACCUUCUAUCAGCACAUCAAGUACCAGAGCAACACAUACAUAACACCUAAAUAGGCUACCUAAAGAACGAAGAGUAGCUAUUUCACUGACGUUCAUAAUACCGCAUUACACCACAUUAUCUACAAUCAUUGUUUACUGGAAUAAAGAUGAGAAAAGCAUUUUGGGUGUAUAGGUGACAAACAUGAUGCAACAAUCAGGAUGCAUGCUCGUCCUACACAUCCUCACGAGUUUUACCAACAUACUGUGGCAAUAGCGUUCUAUAUCGGUGGUAUACUUACGACUCUCACGGUAUUUUGCUAGUCGUCAGCUAAACAUACGAGUUCGAAGUUAGUGUACCUGCAGAAAAUUUCAUCACAGCCCAGUUCCCAAUGAUGCAAUUCACACAUGACAGUUUAUCACAGUUUAUACUCUAUAUAUUUCUAUAUGGAGGCCAGCUCCUCAUUAAGCGUCGAGCCACGCAUAGGCGCUGUUGCCACACUUUAACCAUAGGGCAACUCAUUAUGGUAACUCACCUUCUUACCUGAGCGUAGGUGCGUCGUUACAAGUACAUUACACUUCUCAGUAUUCCCAUGUCUGUAUACCCAUACACAUCCAUGGGGUACUGAAUCCCGGAAAAGUAAUUACUCCACAUCGCAGCCUUCAUAUAUUCAUAUGUGUAACAUGUAUAUAAUCAAGCGCCACAAUUAAGCACUCCCCUAGACCGACGUUUGUCCGGUCAUGCUCUCACAUCUCACCUUACCUUGAGCGUCGAUCCAUUCAAAACUGAAUGGCCUAAAAAAUAACAAUACACAUGUAUGCAAUUCCCUUCCCAGGUUGUGGGUUAGUAUUCUGAACUAAGCCACCUAGUAGUCCUUAAUUUAGGGCUUAACAGAGGAUGUCGCUAGCAUUAUAGUUUUUCAAAUCUGUUUUUCAAAGCCAAACAAUGUGUUUAGUUGAAAAUAGGUUUUUCGAAACCAAAACUUUUGUUUUGACAAUACGUAUGUGACCGUAUAUACUUAAUCCUGCUCUGAUACCAGCUGUCGCAGAACCUCCCAAGUUAUCGGGCCCACAUGCACCUGUCCUUGUCUCAAAGACCUCAGACAGCUAUGCAUGUGCACCAAACAACUUAACAGGAUCUGUUCGAGUGCCCCGAGGACCCCGGAUAAACGACUUACCGCCAAGAUCGCAAGAUUAAGUAAACACAAAUCACACACCAAUAUUUGCAGCGGAAAUAAAUUAUUUAUUACAAAAUGGUUACAAGUUACAACAUUUACAAGUUAUAGCAAGAUUACAAUAUAUAUCAUCAGAGUUGGUUACAAAAGAAAUUGAUUCAAAAAGAUUACAAUUUGAAUGUAUAAAACAUUUAUAAGUUUUAAAAUACAUGCUAGCUUAAGUGACAAUCCUCAAUAAAGAAGCUAAAGAUGGGAUAUACUUAUAUAAGAAGGUCGAGCCCACCAGCACUUAGCAGCAUCCACAACAGAACAAAAUUAUAACCUGAAAAACAACAGGGAAUAAAACCCUGAGUACGCAAUUACUCAGCAAGACUUACCCGACUAAAGAAAAGACUCUCAAGGAUAUGCUGGUUUAUUGGGAAUCAAGGUAAGGCUCAUCAAAUUUCAAAGACUCGUUUUUGCAGAAAAGCAUACUAGUAGUGGAUCCUUAUGCCAAAAUUUUACUUCACAAGUUAAGUACUUUUCCUGAAUCUAGAUUUGCCUAAUCUAGAGCAUUCACUUGUCCUACACUAGCUUCCUUUUAUCAACUUUAGUUUCACUUGUUAUCUACGAUGCAGGGCAGUGAUCCAGUCUUCAUAUCCGAGAAGUAACGGCGAUCUGAAUCGAUUAAUACUCAGUUGAGGAUCUCCAACCACACGACAUAUGUAGCACUUAACCCUUGCAUAUGUCAACUCGCCACCGGGUUUCUCAAGACCAGAACGGGUUCACGCGACCCGAGAGCACAGCACUCCACCGUCCAGCCAUUGGCCUGGUUGGUACACGUUACUCUCGCCAUGGUGCCCGCCAUGUUUCCGAGAGUACAGCACCCCACCUUCCAGUCUCUUGCCACGGAGGGUACAAGCUACUCUCGCCAUCUCUCCACUCCUAGUGCGUGCGAGCUGUUCUGGUAUUGGUCCGACCGAGGCAAAGCUUACCCAUGAUGAGGCAUGUGGCUAGUUAAAGGGUCCUAGAUCAGCAGACCAACAAUCGGAACGGUCCUUAAGCGACACAGACGGGCGACCUUUCCUGCUCAGCGUCUGGUCUAGAUUUAUUCCAACCAUUCUCCCAUUUUUGGUACCCGGCAGGGGUACUUUUUCUGGAUGUUGAAUCCAUCAUGGCCAUAUGGGUUCACCAUCCCAAUUUCUUGUUCACAACAAUUUCCCAUAUCCCGUGUAACACAUCAUCUUUUUUUAAAAAGAACAACUUUUAAUUAUCUAAGCAGGGCUAAGCAUCUUUAGUUCUCUUUAUAAAACGAGGAAUCAAGGAAGAUAAUCAAAUUCCAAGGAAUGGCAAUGCAUCAAUUGUUUCAUCACUCAACUCCUAUCACCUAAUGCAACAUAUAAGUGAUAAAAGUUUUAUAACAACAAGGAGGUGGCAAAUGCACCGGGCUUGCCUGGGAUAACACUAAGUCAGUGUUGUUAGAUGACGUCCGCUUGGGGAGCAUCUCUCAUCCUGGUACUUGACCAGAUCAUCCAAGCUUCAGGUUCGUUCACCAGCAUCACCUUGAGAUCAAUCCAAACCUUGUCUUCCACAUCACGUGAUCAAUUAACGUACCUAAAUGAUAUGCAUAAUGCAUAUGAGUAAGAAGGAGCAUAAAUAGCACAAGAUAGAUAAGUUAUACUAAGGAGGAUACAGACUUAAAGCAAGACAUCGCAACUCUUAGGUGUAGCAACUAGAUAUAUUUAACUCUACAUCAAACAUGACGUUCUAGUCAAUUGGACCUAAACCAAUCAUCAAGUAACAUUAGCAAUAUACAAGUCCUAAUAUAUUUAGAAUAUAACACUGAUGUACUGCAAUACUUAAAAACAAUUACUAUAUGUUGACAUAUCACUAAGUAUCACAAAUACAUUUUUUCACUUAAACAGAUCUAACUCAAGCAUCAAAAGGCUACACAUAAAUCCCAACCUCAUGAACUAGAGUAUCCUACCGAAGGAUUAACACCACUCCUAGUACUAAUGAACAACUCAUUAUUAACAAGCAUAAAAUUCUAUGGUAUAAUAUUUAUCUUCAUUUAAAGGUUUAAAACACUUAUAUGCAUAAACACUAGAUACUUCUAACUUUAUACAAUCAUGAACUUUGAGGUAAUCGGACCUAAUCCAAACCUUAGGUAACAAUAGCUAAAAACAUUAAGCAUGGGAUACAUGUUCACUUGAGGUUAGCUACUUCAAGACUUCACCAAUCAAUAACCAAGAACUAAUUAAUCCUAUCUAGCCAAGCAAGAAUGAUUCCAAGCUAAUAGAAUUGUCUACAGUUCAUUUAUAACUGGAGUUUUAGACAUCCAAAUCAGGUGAUCCUAGACUUUUUAGAAAGCUAAUAGAAUUGUCUACAGUUCAUUUGUAAAUGUCCCAGGUUAAUUCAAUAUAUAUCAAGGUCAGAAAACAUGAGAAAGGCUUCGCUGUCCAAAUUGGGACAGAUUCAGAGAUCCUAACUCAAACCUCUGUAACUUAAUUUAUAGAUCACCAAAAAGGGUGAUCCAAAAUUUGUUGGAAAGCUUAAGGGAAGUACUACAAUUCUCCUAUAAUUGCCAAUGACUGAUUCUCAUUUUAACUUAGCCAAACAAUCCAAUUUUCGAAACCUGUACAUAAUUUGGACAGAUUCAGAAACUGGACUUUGAAAAAUCAUAACUCCUAAACUACUAAACCUAUGGUCAUGAAAUUUUUACACAACCAAGAUAAAGAUGUUAUCUACAACUUUUCUAUAGUAUAUUUCUACAGAAAAUGCACUUUAGUUCGUCAAACAAAUAACACGGCAGAAACUGUACAUGCAGUCUAAAACUGUGAGUAUGCAAUUUUAGCUCCUAAUUAGGCUCUAUAGUAUCAUAUAACUAGCAUGGAGUAUCCAAAGUAUUCGAAACAGCAGAUCAGUCCAAGUAAUCAAGCUUCAACUUCAAUGCACACUAUUUGAAAGUUCUCUGGCUAGCAAAAUUGAAGGUAGUAGAAUUCGGAAGAUAGGCACAUACUAUGAUCAGGAUCAGACUGAACUUUAAAAUUUCAAGUGCUAAAUCUACAUUUACCAAAUAGACCAUCUAUGGUUUGUCUAUUUUGGUUCAGUGAUAGCCAACCAGUCAGAUCUUAAAUCACUGAAAACACAAGUGACGAAACCAACACAACCGGAAUUAUCUCUAACCUGCCCCCCGUUUCGAAUAUCAGUUGUUUGCUACAUGGAUUUCCAAUUGCCAAAAUUAUUCUGCAACCACAUGUAAAAGCAACCAGAAAAACAUAGCUAAAGCCAAACGAAAGCAUCCACAGGAAUCCCAAACCAAAUAUCAUGACCGUUGGACUAGCAAUCGUUUGAGCUAAAUGACCUGCAGCACAAGAAUUUAAAGCUUCCACAGAAGCAUAUAGCAUGAUAAAGCAGAAACAGUUUGAUUGAAUGGAAAUUGUAGUGUUGUAGUUCUACCCAUCGCUGCCUGAACCUCCCAUGUCCCAAACAUGUCCAGUGCCCCACGGACUGGGCGAGCGAUACUGAGGAGGGAUCUCGGCUGGGGCGGCGACUGGCGAGUCCGAGCACCAGGGAGCAGCGACGGCCAGCAGAGGAGCAAGGAGGGGCGCGAC
rnacentral:lncRNA from 1 species